rnacentral:lncRNA from 1 species
CCAGAAUUAUAGAAAUAGGAAUUGGGAAAUUAAUGACAAUGUUCCAAUUAAAGAAAAUUAUAAUGAUAAUGAACAACAACAAUAUAUGAGAAAUGGAGCUCGUCCAAAAAAUACUCGAGGUACUGAUGACCCUCAGAGAGGUGCCCUUCAGGGGGGUGCCCAAGGAAUAUCCCAAACACAAUGAUGGUGUCCGGGGGGGGGGGGCUGGGGCACAGGAAUCAGAAGAUACAACCUUUGAUUUCCCGGACCCUGAUGUCCUACUACCCGUUGUCCCUAUCCACUGCCCUCCCCAUACUAAUGAACCCCAUGUUACCUUAAAGGUGGGUAACACCUAUUAUGAUUGUCUAUUAGACACCGGAGCUUCCUGGUCUGUAUUAAAGAGAACACCUGAUUUACAAUGUUAUUCUAUUGGCUCAGAGAAUGUAAUGGGAGUAUCAGGAAUAACCCAAAGAGUUAAAAGACUUCCUCCUAGAAUGGUGUCUGUAGGACCCCUAGAGGUACAACACUCCUUCCUUUUGAUGCCUGACUCCCCUUUAAAUUUGCUGGGGAGGGACCUUCUAUGCAAACUCAGAGCCACAAUAACCUGCUUUUAUCUUAGAAGCAGGCCUAGAGGAGACUUACAUAUUUCACCAUUUGAGAUGCUUUUUGGACAUCCGCCUAUACAGGCUAAGCCUUUCUCCCCGGCUUAUACAUCACUAUUAGGGGGAGAUAUUACUAUUGCUUCCUAUAUACAGGAGUUACAGCACAAACUACGUGAACUUCAUGAAUCCGGAGCUGCAGUACAAGCUGGACCAUUAGACUUUUCUCUGCAUGACCUGAACCCAGGAGAUAAAGUUUAUAUCAAGAAUUUCAAGCGAACUGGAGCAACUCAAACUUCAUGGGAAGGACCAUUCCAAAUAUUAUUAACUACUCCAACAUCUAUAAAGAUUGGAGAAAGAGACUCUUGGAUUCACUGCUCACAUGUGAAGAAAGCAUCUUCUGCUGAGACUGAUUGACUCUAUCCUAUCAUAUGAAUUGUGACUCUAUCUUAUCAUAUGAAUUGGAGAUAAUAAUCCAUGGACAAAUGG